GCAGGCUUAACACAUGCAAGCCGAGCGAAGUCUUCGGGCUUAGCGGCGGACGGGUGAGUAACGCGUGGGAACGUGCCCUUUGCUACGGGAUAGUCCUGGGAAACUGGGUUUAAUACCGUAUGGUGUCUACGGACUAAAGAUUUAUCGGCAAAGGAUCGGCCCGCGUUGGAUUAGGUAGUUGGUGGGGUAAUGGCCUACCAAGCCGACGAUCCAUAGCUGGUUUGAGAGGAUGAUCAGCCACACUGGGACUGAGACACGGCCCAGACUCCUACGGGAGGCAGCAGUGGGGAAUCUUAGACAAUGGGGGCAACCCUGAUCUAGCCAUGCCGCGUGAGCGAUGAAGGCCUUAGGGUUGUAAAGCUCUUUCGCUGGGGAAGAUAAUGACGGUACCCAGUAAAGAAGCCCCGGCUAACUCCGUGCCAGCAGCCGCGGUAAUACGGAGGGGGCUAGCGUUGUUCGGAAUUACUGGGCGUAAAGCGCGCGUAGGCGGAUUGGAAAGUUGGGGGUGAAAUCCCGGGGCUCAACCCCGGAACUGCCUCCAAAACUAUCAGUCUGGAGUUCGAGAGAGGUGAGUGGAAUUGCGAGUGUAGAGGUGAAAUUUGUAGAUAUUCGCAGGAACACCAGUGGCGAAGGCGGCUCACUGGCUCGAUACUGACGCUGAGGUGCGAAAGUGUGGGGAGCAAACAGGAUUAGAUACCCUGGUAGUCCACACCGUAAACGAUGAAUGCCAGACGUCGGCAAGCAUGCUUGUCGGUGUCACACCUAACGGAUUAAGCAUUCCGCCUGGGGAGUACGGUCGCAAGAUUUAAACUCAAAGGAAUUGACGGGGGCCCGCACAAGCGGUGGAGCAUGUGGUUUAAUUUGAAGCAACGCGCAGAACCUUACCAACCCUUGACAUGGGGGUCGCGGAACCAGAGAUGGUUCUUUCAGUUCGGCUGGACCCCACACAGGUGCUGCAUGGCUG
rnacentral:rRNA from 1 species